rnacentral:ncRNA from 21 species
GAAAACGCGGUCAAAGGCAGCAUCAGAGUUAGGGCAUAAACCAAUGCCAAAGUACUGGAAAAAAGUUUCUUAAUAACCAUAGCGAUCUCCUCAGAUGCAAGGCCAUGAAAUUAGCCACCUGCGUAUUUUUUUAUGCAAUUUAAAUGCCAGCGGCUAAGCUUUAAGACAACCAGUCUAACGGAUUGACCGCUUUUCCUCUUUGUCUUAUUUCAAAGUAUAGACCGUUUUGCUUAAUUCCACCGGUAUGGCCU